GUAGUCUCGCACAGAUGCAUAUCAAUAAGCGGAGGAAAAGAAACUAACAAGGAUUCCCUUAGUAACGGCGAGUGAAGCGGGAAGAGCUCAAAUUUGAAAUCUUCAAGGUUUUACCUUGACGAAUUGUAGUUUAAAGAAGUAUUUUCUGUUGAAGUUUUGGUAAAAGUUCUUUGGAAUAGGACAUCAUAGAGGGUGAGAAUCCCGUAUUUGACCAUUAUUUUCAGCUGUGUGAUACACUUUCAAAGAGUCGGAUUGUUUGGGAAUGCAGUCCAAAAUGGGUGGUAAAUUUCAUCUAAAGCUAAAUAUUGGCGAGAGACCGAUAGCGAACAAGUACCGUGAGGGAAAGAUGAAAAGAACUUUGAAAAGAGAGUUAAACAGUACGUGAAAUUGUCAAAAGGGAAGCGUUUGACACCAGUGUUGUUUUCUCGAAAAUCAAUUAAAAAGAGUUAGAUUUUGUUGUGUAUUGACCUUAACAGCUUGCAUUUCAAUUUUCUUGCUUUUUUUAAUGCACUUUUCGUUUAACAAGUCAACAUCAGUUUCUUUUGUUGUAAAAAGGUCAUUGGAAGGUGGCUUUCUUUUCGGAGAAAGUGUUUAUAGCCUUUGACUCCUGCAAUCGGAGAGACUGAGGUCUGCAGCGUAGAUCCUUCGGGGUUAGAUACAUUUGUGCUAAGUUAUAGCUUUUUAUAGACAACUUGUUGACUAUGAUUAGUCUUGUAGCUUACUCGCUUAUGCUAUUUUACCUACGCUUAGGAUGUUGAAGAUGUAGCACAUCAU
rnacentral:rRNA from 1 species